rnacentral:rRNA from 1 species
GACGAACGCUGGCGGCGUGCUUAACACAUGCAAGUCGAACGGAAAGGCCCUGCUUUUGUGGGGUGCUCGAGUGGCGAACGGGUGAGUAACACGUGAGUAACCUGCCCUUGACUUUGGGAUAACUUCAGGAAACUGGGGCUAAUACCGGAUAGGAGCUCCUGCUGCAUGGUGGGGGUUGGAAAGUUUCGGCGGUUGGGGAUGGACUCGCGGCUUAUCAGCUUGUUGGUGGGGUAGUGGCUUACCAAGGCUUUGACGGGUAGCCGGCCUGAGAGGGUGACCGGCCACAUUGGGACUGAGAUACGGCCCAGACUCCUACUGGAGGCAGCAGUGGGGAAUAUUGCACAAUGGGCGGAAGCCUUAUGCAGCAACGCCGCGUGCGGGAUGACGGCCUUCGGGUUGUAAACCGCUUUCGCCUGUGACGAAGCGUGAGUGACGGUAAUGAGUAAAGAAGCACCGGCUAACUACGUG